rnacentral:rRNA from 1 species
GCAAGGUUAAAACUCAAAUGAAUUGACGGGGGCCCGCACAAGCGGUGGAGCAUGUGGUUUAAUUCGAUGCAACGCGAAGAACCUUACCUGGUCUUGACAUCCACAGAACUUUCCAGAGAUGGAUUGGUGCCUUCGGGAACUGUGAGACAGGUGCUGCAUGGCUGUCGUCAGCUCGUGUUGUGAAAUGUUGGGUUAAGUCCCGCAACGAGCGCAACCCUUAUCCUUUGUUGCCAGCGGUCCGGCCGGGAACUCAAAGGAGACUGCCAGUGAUAAACUGGAGGAAGGUGGGGAUGACGUCAAGUCAUCAUGGCCCUUACGACCAGGGCUACACACGUGCUACAAUGGCGCAUACAAAGAGAAGCGACCUCGCGAGAGCAAGCGGACCUCAUAAAGUGCGUCGUAGUCCGGAUUGGAGUCUGCAACUCGACUCCAUGAAGUCGGAAUCGCUAGUAAUCGUGGAUCAGAAUGCCACGGUGAAUACGUUCCCGGGCCUUGUACACACCGCCCGUCACACCAUGGGAGUGGGUUGCAAAAGAAGUAGGUAGCUUAACCUUCGGGAGGGCGCUUACCACUUUGUGAUUCAUGACUGGGGUGAAGUCGUAACAAGGUAACCGUAGGGGAACCUGC